AGUGCAAAUUGGAGACGUACCCUAAAAGGUGCCGGGGCUUCUCCCGUUUUAAGAGAGACGGGAGAAGG
rnacentral:tRNA from 1 species